rnacentral:misc_RNA from 1 species
AAUCCCUCAAGCACUGCUUGGUAUUGGGUGGCCAGAUUUGGCUACCUGGAAGUCAUGGCAAUGUCAAGUUAGUAUUGAAGCUUUGGCAGCAUCUAAGCUUGCUUGACUAGCUGAGGUCAUUGGAUUAUGAUCUUUUU